rnacentral:rRNA from 1 species
GCCAGUAGCUGUAUCACCUUAUAACUCACAACUGGCAACCCACUGAAGCUAAGCAGGUGUGAGCCUGGUCAGUACCUGGAUGGGAGAUCUCCUGGGAAAAACUAAGGUUGCUGCUGGAA